AGAUUGAACGCUGGCGGCAGGCCUAACACAUGCAAGUCGAGCGGCAGCACGGGUACUUGUACCUGGUGGCGAGCGGCGGACGGGUGAGUAAUGCCUAGGAAUCUGCCUGAUAGUGGGGGAUAACGUUCGGAAACGGACGCUAAUACCGCAUACGUCCUACGGGAGAAAGUGGGGGAUCUUCGGACCUCACGCUAUCAGAUGAGCCUAGGUCGGAUUAGCUAGUUGGUAGGGUAAAGGCCUACCAAGGCUACGAUCCGUAACUGGUCUGAGAGGAUGAUCAGUCACACUGGAACUGAGACACGGUCCAGACUCCUACGGGAGGCAGCAGUGGGGAAUAUUGGACAAUGGGCGAAAGCCUGACCCAGCCAUGCCGCGUGAGUGAUGAAGGCCUUAGGGUUGUAAA
rnacentral:rRNA from 1 species